GUCCCUGUAGCACAAUGGAUGUGUGUGUGUGUGUGUGUGUGCGUUGGACUUCUAAUUUAAAGGUAGUGGAUUCGAAUCCCACCUGGAAUG